UCCCUCGUGGCGCAAUGGCUAGCGCGUUCGACUGUUAAUCGAGAGGUUGGUGGUUCGACCCCACCCGAGGGAG
rnacentral:tRNA from 1 species